ensembl:snoRNA Small nucleolar SNORD12/SNORD106
GUUUGUGCCUUUGUGAUGACCAGUUUUUUCCCCGGCAGAUCGACCAUGUUGACUGUCUGAGAAUUUAAGCCAAAGAUUUCUGAUGCACUGAA